AAGCAAUUCGAUCUUGAUCAGUGUAAAUUUGUUUGUAUUAAAUGCAAACAAACUCAUUUCAAACAAGAUCCCGUGACAUGUCGAUGUGACCAAGACCCAGCAAUUGGACCAAUAGCAGGCUGUUCAACCAUGGACGAUAAUCAAGGAAUGAUUCUUGUGGCCGUCAUCUUCGGAGAAUUCAUCAUUCUCUUUUUGAUUUUUGAUUUUAUUCUUUGCCGCAAAAAAUCUGGCUUAUUACAUCAUCUGUGCCAAUGUUGCAAUAGACAUGCGGGACGCUCAGCACUAAACCCAACACCCUAAAUGAACGUAAAAGCUUGGUCAUGUGACUAAUAGCAUGUAAUGUUCGCCAUCAUGGAGAAUGUCAACAACAAUAGAAAGAAAUUCAUUAAUUUUAAAAGGAAUUAUAAAUCGUUACUUGAAAGAAUUCCUUUUAUCAUCAGUUUCAUUGAAAGAAUUCAAAUUGAACAGAUAUUAAUAUGUGAACAAUAAUAGUACUGUAGAUAAAUAGCAAAACUUUAGCAUUAGAACGUAUCAACUUAGUUAUAUGUAUACUGUGAAAAUACCUUGUAAAUAGCUUAGUUACCCAAGAUAGAUGAUUAUAGAAAACAAAUAGUAUUUAUUAACGAUAUCAAAAUUAUUUAAUGACCACAAAACUCCUCGUUUUGUCAGAAUCUGAUCAUAGGACAUGUAUAUAAAUUAUAAACUUUCUUAAGAAUGAAUGUAAAUCUGAUGAUUACGACAAAAGUGACCAUUUAUGUAGCUAAACUACUUACAAUGAGAAUUCACACUGCAUUGUCUUAUGACUUGGAAAAACAAAAUAAAUGUAAGAAUAAUUGUUUCAUAACUUUUUAUUCUUUAAUGGAGAAAGACCCUGAAAUGAAA